rnacentral:sRNA from 1 species
GAAUUCUUACCACUAAACUACAGCCACUUUGUU